rnacentral:lncRNA from 1 species
GCGGGAUGAUUGGCGUCCGAGCGCUGGGCUGUUCCGUGGACCCGCGCGGCCACGCCAGUGUGCUGUGCACGGGAAAUGUGGACGUGGGAGCACGGAGGCACCCAGUACUGUGGCGUGGUGCUCGUCUGGUCGUCAGCGAGCCUCAGCGUACUUAGGACACCGCAGUUUAUCUUUCCUUAGCGCUCCUAACGGUUAUGGAAAAUAGCGCUUGAAAACCUGGUAAGGACUAGGCAUUGUUGCUCAACUCUUGACAUUUACACCUUUGCCGGUAACUCUCCCUGUUUCACAGAUGGGGAAACGGAGGCUCACACUUAUUCAGUCUCUCUUGAGAUCCACCUGAUUCGUGAGAGGUAGAGCCAGGAUUUCAUUCUUGCCCGUCGAUGGCAUAUGUUAGUGCCUAUGUUGGGGGAGGCAGACUGCCCCAGCCCUCCCCAACACACGCAAUGGUUAUGAGAAGAAAUAAAGCGAAGGGUGUUCCUGAGAUUGACCCCAUGACCUACACUUAGUACAAGGCUAAGCUCUCUUAGCUCUCUGGCUUAGCAAUAAACUGCUUUGAAGACACAGAACUUUGCACUUGAGAGCCGGAAGAGACCUUGGGAAUCCCGGGUUCCAUCCUUUCUUCCACCUUGUAUACAGGUGAAUGCACUGUGGCCCAGAGAUAGGAAGUGACCAGCAAUCCAGCCACUUUAAAAGAUUUUUAAAAACAAGAGCCCUAGAAACGUCUACUCCAUUCCAUUUAUCAAGUAAAACAAGCAUAGACAGAACUGGCAGUUCUACAUCUUAACACAGAAUCCUUCUUGGUCCAGCACCCGCCUGGGUCACCUCCUCUUCCUGGAUUCAGCUACUGUUAACGGAAGAAACCAUGAAGCCUCAGAAGGUUAGAGCCAAAGGGACUCUACUGUGUAGCCCCAAUCACCUUCUUUUACAGUUAAGAGCCUGGAACCCAGAGAGGUUGAGUGACUUGGCCAAGACCCCCUGGAGGCAGAGGAGAGCAGAACCAAUGUUUCAGACUCCCACAUGACUUGCGCAUCAGUGUCUUUUUUUUGACAAUCUGUUGCUAUAAGAAAUUACUCGUUUGGAUAAUUUUCACACUAGAAAACCCUGUGACCCAAGGCUAGCAUUGAGAAGCUAAAGCUGGCCACUGACAUACUGUGAUUUUAAGGACAGUCUCCUUCGAAAUUAUCUGCCUUUCAAAAUCUUUGCCAUUGGAGACACUGGUUGGGGUUAUGUUAGUCUUCCUUAAGGAGGGCUCUACUAAAAUGCCAGACUAGGCCGGGCAUGGUGGCUCAUGCCUGUAAUCCCAGCACUUUGGGAGUCCAAGGCAGGUGGAUUGCCUGAAAUUAGGAGUUCAAGACCAGCCUGACCAACAUGGUGAAACCCCAUCUCUAUUAAAAAUACAAACACUAGCUGGACAUAGUGGCUUUUUUGUGCCUGUAAUCCCAGCUACUCAGGAGGCUGAGACAGGAGAAUUGCUUGAACCCGGGAGGUGGAGGUUGCAGUGAGCCGAGAUCACGCCAAUGGACUCCAGCCUGAGCAACAGAGUGAGACUCCAUCUCAGAGAGAGAGAGAAGAAAAGCCAGACUAGUCAACAUUCAGACAUACAAGACGGAGAUCACCAUGCGAACCCAGCCUGGCCCUUAGAUGUGUGUGCUCGAGCCAGGAUCAUCCAGAGUCUGAUAGCGCCUGCACCCCAACACGGUUGGAUUCCAGGACGCCAGUGCCAAACCCAGAGAAAGGACAACCAGCUUCCAUGCAUUUGCAUUUAAUUUUUAAAAACAAUACAUAUUUCAGUGUUAACUUCCUCCCCUCACCUGGCUUGAAAUAUUUUCCCCAUUUUCUAGGGAAACAAAAUCUACCAAAAGGUGCCGCCUGCAAGACCCCGGGCCCAGCCACUUCUGGAGGGUGGUGCUGUGUGGACUCCUCUGGGGCCAGGACAGGGCCCCUUCCUGGGCUCCUCUUCAGAUGCAGCUUUGCCACUGUUUGUAUCUGUUGCUUAGAAAAUCGUCUUUAAUGUUUCAAGUGAGGAAAGGGUUUCCAGUCACCUCCUAGAUUUCACACCGGGACACACACCUGGGUCAGGUGAGCAUGACAGAGCCCCCAGGAUGGGCACCUGACUCUGCAGACCAGAGGCCAGUGCCGGUGGGGGCCAUGGCAGUGCCCUGGGCACACACACUCUGCACACUGUGGGCUCAGUGGUUCCUUCUGUGCACCUGCUAGGAAAGCUCCUGAAGGUCCCUGCCCGACUUGUCAAGAAAUCAGAAGCCGUUUUAGAGCCACAUUUUAUUGUACUUGUUGCUUCACCGCUGGACAGCAGCAUGACAUGCUUUGUGCAUGAUGUAUACAUAUACAUACAUGUACACACAAGGACACACCACAGCCUGCACUCACAGCAUGUGACAACACGAACCGUUGCUGGUAAGGACAGUAAAAAUGUAGCUUUUGCCAAUUCCACAGGACAAUGACUCACAACCAAAAUAACAGGCACAGAUCAGUCCUGCGCCACACUAUUUGGGUUCCCAGCUCCAAAUACUGGGAGUGAGAUCAGUGACUUCGUGUCCCCUCAUGAGAUGUCCCCACAGUAGGAUGCACUGAGCCAGAGCUAAGGGAGGGCGGACAAGCCCCACGUUGAACUCUGCCUGCAGCACCUGGACCCUCCCGGGGCAGCCUGCAUGCUGAUGCCCCUGCAGCACAAGGCUCGCCCGGAACAGAACGCCCUGGGCUCGGCAGGACAACGGGUGCCACCACUGGCAACACGUAGCACCUGAGAGCAGCCUCGACUGCGUGAGGCUCCAGGGCCUUCCCUGGAUGGCAGCAGCUGACGUGGAGAUGAAGCUUCCUGCUGGGCACAUGCACAUGCCAGUUUCUUUUCCUAAUAGGUCCCCACUGGGUGCUGGCUGCAUCAACUGAACAUCAGAGAACUAGGAAAGUUCACAAACACUGAGCAGUAGUAUCUAAAGCAGUUUAAAAAUAAAGCCAAAAGGAAGACCAAAAAAUCCCUCAUCACUGAGCGGAGACAAAUCUACAUACCAGCAGCUGCCUUGAAAGGGCCGGCGGGGCCGCUCCCAUGCCUCCUGCAGGUCAGAAGCAAUCAGUGCUGCCUGGACCCCCUUGUGAACCGAACAUGCCUCAAAAACACGACGACCCCAGCAGGCCCCUGGCAGCACCCAGCAGCAGCGUCCAAUGGGACGUUCUGUGCCCAUGGCCACAGUGGCUCACAAGCAUCAUCCGCAGCCCAAGAGUGAGGAGUCAGGGUCCUGUCACUGCCACCAGCAGGCAGGGGUGCUGGGGGCAUUCUGAUCUGUUAGCAUGUGGACAAGGAGGCGCGUAAGCUGCCCCCGGGGACUCACCACCUCUUUUAAUUAAUAGGGAAACAGUCCACUCAAGAAAAAGAGAAAACCUGGGAAGUUCUUUUUCCUGAAUUAAGACAAGGCCUUAAAACCUAAAGGGCAGAACACCGGAAACAGUUUUGCUUCCAGGUCAGGCAGUGGGAGGAACUCCAGGCCCCGAGUGUCUGGGCUUCCUAGGUGUCUUAUAAUCACAAUCACCACUGUGAGAAUUUUCAUGGCCAUGAUUUAUUUAGGUUUUACAAAUUCUGUAGGAACUGGGUUCCACAAACCUCCAGACCUGCUCCUCUUUCCCACCCUACCCCACCCUUUGCGGGGAGCUGCAUGGUUCUAAAAAAUGGUCCAUUGGACUCUGUAACUGAAAAGCCACCUGGCAAGGGGCCCACUUUGAUGGGUACCAAAGGGCCUUGGAGUGUUCUAGCCACAGAGCUGUGUGCAGGCACAACAGAGGGCCUGGUGGGGCUGAGCCAGGCCCCCUGACAGGUGGCUUUCUACUUUAGGUCCAAGCUUAGAACCUGGCUCUUGGCCAGUCUGGGGAAAAAUAACUCACUUCCUAAGCUACAUCUGCAAAAAUUGCAAAGGCUGAGUACAGCCAGCAUUUGAGGCUGAACUUGCUGCUGUGUUGAACGGCACGGAGGCACCCCAACGUCUCGCUGCCUCGCAUUUCAGGAUGGGCCAAACAAUGAAUUUCUUAUUCUUUUAGGAGAGGUCUGAUUUUGACAAAUUAUUUCUAAUUUAAUAUCACAGUGCAUAGCUCUCCUCUCAUCAAAGGUCUUCAUGAUCAUUUUAGGGAGAAAAACCAAAGAAAAGUGAGACAAACAAAACUGCCCCAGGACUUGGUGCUGGCAGCCAGCUCAUCACCCACAUGGGGAUCCGCAAUAGGGGUCAGCUGGGGGCCCUCAACCAGCACCCCGCUCCUAAGCACGUCCAGAUUUGUCCUCACCCAUGUCCCUUCUGGCAACUUCCUGGUCAACCUCAACCCACCCCUCUGCACAGCCUUGGGUGGGCCGCUGAGGGCCAUGAGUGAGCUGGGGCCAUGAGUCAGCAGGCAGGCCGGGAAAAAGGGCCUCAGGAGACUCAUCUGGUUGGUCCCAGCCAGAGCCACCACACACAGCCUCUUCCUCAGCUUCAUCUCUGCUGAGAACUCUGCAGCGGCCACCAUGGAUGUUCUGCAGAAGCCAGGCCCACUGAGUCUGCAGCAUGGGGCCAAAGGCAGGCCCAGCAUAUCCCGUGAGCCACAGAGUGGGGGCAGCUCUGAGCCCUCGGCCAGCACAGGGACAUCAGACCCGUUUCCCCCACUCCUCUACCCAGGGCGCCACCAACAAGGUCUAGGACAGACAAAAGACUGACUUCCAAUGGUCCACACGUGGAUUCCGUGGUCUGGCUGCUGGCCUCCCAGGGACCCAACCCUUCUGAGCCAGAGGGGUCACUCUGGUCCAGUCAGUCCUUCCUCCAGGGACAUAACGAAUCUGGCUCUGCCUGAAUCAUCGAUGACAGGGCAAAGGCAACUGGAGCAGAUGGGAGCUCUGGCAAACACGGGAGGAGGGUCUUGGAAGAGCCCCCGUCCCCAGCGGCUAGAUGCUUACACAUGGACGAUCUACUCUCCUGACUGUGGCUCAUCAGGCUGGUGCUACCAUCUGUGGUUGUAAAGGUCCAAAGAGGGCUACGGAAAGGACAGGUGGGCUGGAAGGAAUGUGGAGAAUGACCCCAGGACAGGGGAGGAGGAGACUGGCCCCAUCAAUCCAGUUCACAGCCGGGAAAAGUGCAGGAAGACAGACAAACGACCCCAAUGUGGGCGAAGGACACACCUCCAAGGACUGGAGCCGCAGAGUCCACGUGACAAGGAGACCCAGGAUAGAAACACUGUGCGGAGGACACGGUGUCAACCUCGGAAGGGGCCUCCUAUGCUUUCCACACCAAAUUCCCCCACGGGAGAAACCCUGCCACAAGGCCCAGGAAACCACAGACCCCAAGCCAACUGUGCCUAGCACAGACACCAAGGAAUGACAGCGAUGCCAGUGACGCCAGGAGGACUUGGCCCCUAGCCCCAUCAUCGGCUGUAUGAUGAUCGGUGUGUCUGCGGCCUCCCUCUCGUCAGACUGCAGCCUUGGGGGACACGUAGAACUCUGUCUCCUCGCCCUCAGGGGCCUUGAGCUUACACUUCCCGCAGCACAGCAGCGGUUGAAGCAGCACCACAGACAGCAGCAGCAGUAGCAGCAGGUGAGGAGGCUGCAGAAGACAAACAGGGCCUUGGCCCCCCCGGCUGGACAGCACGAGGAAAAACAAAGAUCCCCAAAGUCCAUUUCGCUCCGAGGUCAGUGGACACAGCUCUGUGACUGUCCUGUGCUGUGUGGGUCUGUAGAAGGGCCAGUCAUGGGCCAUCGAGCUACUCACAGCCAACUGCACCCAAGUCCAAGCCUGGCUCUGUUCCCAUACACAGAGACAGGAUGGGGGCUGCUGAUCUGGCCUGAAGCCUUGCUCUGGGCACUGAAAACGGGGGCUAUUUCCUUACCUGAAGAUCUGGAAGCAGCAUGUUGACAAAAGCACCAACUGCUCUGCCAUCACGUCCCACUGGGUGUCAGUGGGAAGGCCUAACCAAGGCCUGCCUCCAGUGGCUAUCAGGCAGACGGGCCAGCAGUUCCCCUCCAGGAGCAAGGGACCCUUCUUACCCUUUUGAUCACAUUUCCCUCUCUUAAAGGGGCACUGCUGUGGGAAGGGGUCAUGCCUUGGAUCCUACAGUCAUGGACUGUGGGUGAAACAGGGGCUCUUGACUCUUCACUUCCUAGCCAUAACUCUGCCCAUUGGACCACCCACCCUCCCUGCUGCUGGUCUCCUGGCUCACCCAUCAAAUCCAACUGCUUUAUCUAGAAAAUACUUUUCUCCAUUCUCAUUUCCCUUUGCUUUCCCACUCACCUCUGUUUUUGUUUCUGUUUUAUUUUGUUCCAGACACCCUUUUCAGGGAAGUAGAUCAGGGAGGCCCAAGAGAUUAGGCCUGGGUGGGCUGCUAUCGCUUAAGAACACGUCUGCCUCUGGGGCUCCUCCCUAACAGCUGGCCUCUGGAGCUGGGAGAUGCAGCUGCCUGGCAGUCUGCAGAGGCAGAUUGUGUUGUUACGUGCUGGUCACCGCCUUGAGCCUUAAACCACAGUCAGCAAUGAACCUGGAGGCAGGGCAUCUCUGGGGAUGAUCGACCGCAUCUGCUCAGGUUCUUGCAGGGCAGGGCAGGCAGAGAUGUGUGUUUGGAGCCAGAAAGCCUUCCUGCCAACCUGCCAUGCCUCAGUUUCCCUAUCUGAACCACCUUCAUAAAAACAACUUACGGCUCUCAGAGCAGCACAUUUGUAAAAACCUGAAAAAUAUAAAGAAAAACGUCACUCACAUUUCUCCCAUGAACAUUUUCCUAUUUUAUGUAUCUUUUAUGUAACUGAAUCACAUUGCAUAUACAAUUAUGUGUUCCAUUUUUAAACAAUAAGCUUCCCUUGUUUUAAAAGUAAUAAUCCAUGUUUAUUAUGUGUUAUUGCAUAGAAAUUUCAGACACAAAAAAAGAAAGGAAAAAUGACUCCUUAUUGCUCCAUUGAGAAAUAAUAAAUAUGAAUAUUAUUCUGAUAAA